GAUGAAGAACGCAGCGAAACGCGAUAGGUAAUGUGAAUUGCAGAAUUCAGUGAAUCAUCGAAUCUUUGAACGCACCUUGCGCCCUUUGGCUAUUCCGAAGGGCAUGCCUGUUUGAGUAUCAUGAACACCUCAACUCUCAUGGCUUGCCAUGAUGAGCUUGGACUUUUGGGGGUCUUGCUGGCCUGUGGUCAGCUCCUCUCAAAUGAAUUAGCCUGCCAGUGUUUGGUGGCAUCACAGGUGUGAUAACUAUCUACGCUUGUGGUUUUCCACCAGGUAACCUUCAGUGAUGAAGGUUCGCUGGGGCUCAUAAACGUCUCUCCUCAGUGAGGACAGCUCUUUGAACGUUUGAUCUCAAAUCAGGUAGGACUACCCGCUGAACUUAAGCAUAUCAAUAAGCGGAGGA
rnacentral:misc_RNA from 1 species